GCCAAAACGCGGAAGCAACGUGGAUUUUACGUGCCUACGUUUAUGUCAAACACAUCGUGAUUGGCUCAUGAAGGAGCAGAUACGUGAAACACGCUGCACAUAGCCAUAUGGAGAAAGUAGGUGAGUGUUGAUCAUUUGUUUGGUACCUAUUCCCCCAAGAGGGGUGCCAGUGUCCUGAUGCUGACCAGUGCCACCGGUUCCGCCACUUGGUUCCUGCUGGAGCCUUAGCACCAACUGGAUGAGGGGACUCCUCUCUGUGUUGAAUUCCCGGCUGUCUAAGGCUUUGAAGUGGAGAGUGGUGUCAAACUACAAGACCGCCAGCAUGUAAACAAGGCCUUGUUUGUCCUUGUUUGGCUACUCACCACUCUUCUAAUUCCUGAAGAGGCUGAAGCAUGCUGGCCUUGACACCUCAGUCCUUGCUUCCAUUAACAGCUGUGUUAUGGUCUACUGCAACGGGUGGAUAAGGAGGGCAAAUGACAGGCAGUGUGCUGUGAGGACUGCUGCCCUGAUUCAUACGGAAGAACCAAGCCCGCAAGAUGGUGUUAUCAAGCACACAGAAGGGGGGAAUAUAGCUUAUUGUACCUUAAAUGACAAGUGCUCAUCACAAGCAUUCCAAAAAUAUAUGAUUUAGGCUACUUAAUGUGAUCUGUCUUCGAGUUACACCCUAAAAACUACCAACACUGUCAAAAGAGUCCGUCAAUGCAAACGGUCGUGUCCUCCUGGCAGAUGGUGUUAUCAAGCACACAGAAGGGUGGAAUAUAGUUUAUUGUACCUUAAAUGACAAGUACUCAUCACAAGCAUUCCAAAAAUAUAUGAUAUAGGCUACUUAAUGUGAUCUGUCUUCGAGUUACACCCUAUAAACUACCAACACUGUCAAAAGUGUCCGUCAAUGCAAACGGUGGCAUCCUCCUGGCAGAUGGUGUUAUCAAGCACACAGAAGGGUGGAAUAUAG